rnacentral:rRNA from 1 species
UACAGAGGGUGCGAGCGUUAAUCGGAAUUACUGGGCGUAAAGCGCGCGUAGGCGGUUUUGCAAGUCGGGUGUGAAAUCCUCAGGCUUAACCUGGGAACUGCAUUCGAGACUGCAUUACUAGAGUAUGGGAGAGGGAAGUGGAAUUUCCGGUGUAGCGGUGAAAUGCGUAGAUAUCGGAAGGAACAUCAGUGGCGAAAGCGACUUCCUGGACCAAUACUGACGCUCAUGUGCGAAAGCGUGGGGAGCAAACAGG